CAGUAGCCGCGGGAAUACGAAGGGGGCUAGCGUUGUUCGGAUUUACUGGGCGUAAAGCGCACGUAGGCGGACUUUUAAGUCAGGGGUGAAAUCCCGGGGCUCAACCCCGGAACUGCCUUUGAUACUGGAAGUCUUGAGUAUGGUAGAGGUGAGUGGAAUUCCGAGUGUAGAGGUGAAAUUCGUAGAUAUUCGGAGGAACACCAGUGGCGAAGGCGGCUCACUGGACCAUUACUGACGCUGAGGUGCGAAAGCGUGGGGAGCAAACAGGAUUAGAUACCCGAGUAGUCCCUGUCUCUUAUAC
rnacentral:rRNA from 1 species